rnacentral:rRNA from 1 species
UACGUAGGGCGCAAGCGUUGUCCGGAAUUAUUGGGCGUAAAGGGCUCGUAGGCGGUCUGUCACGUCGGGAGUGAAAACACGGGGCUUAACCCCGUGCCUGCUUCCGAUACGGGCAGACUAGAGGUAUGCAGGGGAGAACGGAAUUCCUGGUGUAGCGGUGAAAUUCGUAGAUAUCGGGAGGAACACCAGUGGCGAAGGCGGCGACCUGGACGGACAUUGACGCUGAGACGCGAAAGCGUGGGGAGCAAACAGG